rnacentral:lncRNA from 1 species
CUUCGUCUCUUCGUAUAUCAUAUUGAAUCAUCAUAUGGUUGAACAUUCACGGAAUGGUCUAGAUCUUUUCACGAUUUGUCUUUGUUGUGCUUCUCUACUAACAUACACAUAACAACUUUUCAAAUUCAAUUUAGGAUCUCUUUGCAUAAUCACUAAAUCAAAUUCCAGAUCAAGUCUACUAAAAAUGUGUGAACUUAAAGUCUGGACAUCAUGGAAUGUAAAUGUACAAUCCCUUCCACCGAUCUCUGUUAUAUAUGAAGCUGUCUGAUGGUCAAUUUCCUGAAAAAAUCACUAUGAGUUCGUUAUUCUCACAAUCCGAGAUGAUUCCUUAAUUAUAACACGGUGCUUAGAGCAACAAAUGACCCCAAACUAACCCAUAUUCUAGCAUAACACUAAGAUAUACAUACAUAGAACUGAAAUAUGAUUCCGGCAACAAAUUUUGAAAUGGGUUUAUUAAACUCAAAACAAUUUGUAUAUGAGUAAGCAUAAGCUGAAGCUAAUGUGACUGUCUGAAAGCCUCUACUAUGAUGAGUUUCUAGGACAAGCCCCUAGUUAAUUCUAAACUGUCUGAAAACUAAAAUCAUAACAACUGAAUGAAAUAUAAAGUUCAUCCUCGAAAGAUGAGGAUACACCAAUAAAACUACUGAGUUGAUCUGAAGUUGUACUAAUCGUGGCCUGAGUCCUGAACGCCCAAAUCUAUAUUAUCAAACAAUAUAGCGCGAGAGUAUGUGGUUGGUACUUUAAAUGUGUCGAGUAUGUAGGAUAUGCAUGAUAAACAUAAUACGUGGACAUGCUGAAUCUGAAAUGUUGUACUGAAUAACAUGAAAUGAUGCACUGACCAAGUGGUAAAACAUGCAACUAAAACAUACUGAAACUAUUAUAACUAGCUACAAGGUCAUGCAACAUAUGAGAUUAAACUGUGAAAGAUACUAUAAACCGACAUAUAACCAUGAGCUACAACAUGGAGCUUGAUGUAUAAUUCCCAUAAAAAAGGUCCAAUAUACCUUGUCAAGGUAUAGAGGUUGAUUUGAGCUAUUGUAGUACCACUAAGCUAAUGUUUAUAAAUAGACUAAGGAGUCAUCUUGGUUUGGGGGGUUAUCCUUAUAAUCCUACGGUGGCACAUAUUUAUGUGGCUUAGAAUUCCUACUAAAGGUCUUAGUCAUCAAUUAAUGGGUGAGCCUUCAUUCCUAGGUCCACUCGGUGCUAAGUAAAACUCCUAAAGAAAAUAUGUUGAUUAAGCAAUUCGACUAAAAACACUGAAUUAUACUGAUAAACUAUAACAACUAAGGCUCACGAAUUCUGAUAAAAACUAAUAAUAUCUAAGAGACAUUUUAUCUAAAAGUAUCUUAAAUUUUAAAAACUAAUAAUCUGAUAUGUGCAUUAUCUAUACACUAAGGUUUCAUAACAUUACCAUAUACAAUACUGAUUUAAUAGGUGGAAACACAUAAUGUAAACUAUUCAUGAGGAAGACAGAGAAUAAUGAAGAAUCAUGUUUUUCAUAAAAUCCUAUCUGUUAUAGAAAUGGUGAAUUGCAAAAUUAGAAUUUCUUUGGGACUCAAUGGGUGAAAGGAUACCCAUUUAUGAAUAUAAAAAAUCCUCACAUACCUGGAGAGAAGAAAUCAUCUUGAAUCUUGAACUGAAGCUUGACGAUGAAGAAUCUUAGUUCUUGCUUAAGAGUAACCUUGAACGUACUGAUUUUAGAUUCUAGGAGUUAUGCGUGAGAGGAGAGGCUUUGGUCGACUGAUUUUUCUUUAAUCUCACAUAGGAUAGACUAAAACAACAUAGUAUAAGGAUUAAAAGAGUGAAAAAGACCAACAUGACCCUUACUAAAAGCUGAGUUCAACAGCUUCCACGAGACUAUCUAUGGUCUAUGGUUUCAUUUACGGUAGAUCACGUCCGUGGAAGUUAGGCAAUAAUACUGGGCUCUGAAGUUUCAUUUAUGGGGUGCAUCUACGACCUAUAGUCCCUUUUACGAGCCGUAGAACCUAUUCAUAAAACUCAGGCUAAUAUCCAUAUUUCAGGACUUUGAUGUAUGAACCAAUCCAC